rnacentral:rRNA from 1 species
UACGGAGGGGGCUAGCGUUGUUCGGAAUUACUGGGCGUAAAGCGCACGUAGGCGGCUUUGUAAGUUAGAGGUGAAAGCCCAGGGCUUAACCCUGGAAUUGCCUUUAAGACUGCAUCGCUAGAAUUGUGGAGAGGUAAGUGGGAAUUCCGAGUGUAGAGGUGAAAUUCGUAGAUAUUCGGAAGAACACCAGUGGCGAAGGCGACUUACUGGACACAUAUUGACGCUGAGGUGCGAAAGCGUGGGGAGCAAACAGGG